GGACAAAGCAGUACCCCAGAGAAUGGGCACGGGAAAGUUUUUUUGAUUCGCCUAGUGAAGUAGUUGAGAAAACCUUGUACAUAGAUUCUGUAGCUAAUGUGCGAAUUUCAGCCCCUAACGCUGCUUCUUUGAAACCCAAGGGAAUAGUGAACUCCCCGGAUAAGAAUAUGAAAACUCUGGUUGAAAACAGAAAAGUGCUUGAAAACUUGGCUGCCAUGUCUCCUAUUCAAGGUGCCAGGCACACAGAUGUUCUAGAGAAAAAUAG
rnacentral:misc_RNA from 1 species